rnacentral:rRNA from 1 species
UGGGGAAUCUUCCGCAAUGGACGAAAGUCUGACGGAGCAACGCCGCGUGAGUGAAGACGGCCGUCGGGUUGUAAAGCUCUGUGAUCCGGGACGAAAGAGCCUGAGGUGAAGAGCCUAAGGAAGUGACGGUACCGGAAAAGCAAGCCACGGCUAACUACGUGCCAGCAGCCGCGGUAAUACGUAGGUGGCAAGCGUUGUCCGGAAUUAUUGGGCGUAAAGCGCGCGCAGGCGGCUUCCUAAGUCCAUCUUAAAAGUGCGGGGCUUAACCCCGUGAUGGGAUGGAAACUGGGAAGCUGGAGUAUCGGAGAGGAAAGUGGAAUUCCUAGUGUAGCGGUGAAAUGCGUAGAGAUUAGGAAGAACACCGGUGGCGAAGGCGACUUUCUGGACGAAAACUGACGCUGAGGCGCGAAAGCGUGGGGAGCAAACAGG